UACGUAGGCAGCGAGCGUUGUUCGGAGUUAUUGGGCGUAAAGAGCUCGUAGGCGGUUUGUCGCGUCUGCUGUGAAAUCCCGAGGCUCAACCUCGGGCCUGCAGUGGGUACGGGCAGACUUGAGUGGUGUAGGGGAGACUGGAAUUCCUGGUGUAGCGGUGAAAUGCGCAGAUAUCAGGAGGAACACCGGUGGCGAAGGCGGGUCUCUGGGCCGAUACUGACGCUGAGGAGCGAAAGCGUGGGGAGCGAACAGG
rnacentral:rRNA from 1 species